rfam:Triticum aestivum genome assembly, contig: Triticum_aestivum_CS42_TGACv1_scaffold_322320_4BL
UUUCUACUCCCUCCGUUCGGAAUCACUUGUCGCAGAAAUGGAUGUAUCUAGACGUAUUUUAGUUCUAGAUACUUCCAUUUUAGAGACGAGUAAUUCCGGACGGAUGGAGUAGCUU